rnacentral:rRNA from 1 species
AUGUCCGGUGCGCCUCUGCCGCGCUACCCGUUGACUGUCGACGGUGUUCACUAUAUUGAUCCUGUCUCACACAUACAUCGUCGCUCGGUGCUUGGAGCUCGUCCAUCUAUGACGUUAUCUCCUACGACGUCUUCAGCAGAUUGUGCUGGUUGCUAUUCGACGACUCUUCACGUGGCUUCUGCCCGUGGCGGCGGUGUCCGCUCUACGUCGACUCCUCUCGCGGCCUUCGCACGCGGCGGUGCCGGCUCUACAUCGACUUCCUCAGUGGCUUCCACAUGCAGCCCUACGUCGACUCGCUACACUCAGUCAACUCUAUGCAUGGCUUCCACGGGUGGUGGUGACUGCUCAUCGUCGGCAGGUGUUUGUACCUCGACCUCUUCCGAUGUGUCCCUGUCUGCGCGUGAGAUUGCGCAGCUGCAAUGCCUGCUUGCUGCUUGGGAUUCUUCACCGACAGGUUCUGCAGUUUCUGUGACCGACUUUUCUGGCACUGAGAAACCACCUUCUACUCAUUCAGGUACAUCCCCAUGGAUUCUUGAUACUGGAGCGUCUUUUCAUAUGACUUAUGAUUCUUCCACUUUAACCUCCAUUCGACCUGUCGAGUCUCCUGCUCGUGUUCUUACGGCUGAUGGCACUCCCCUCCCUGUAGCUAGUCGAGGCACUCUUAGCACUUCCUCGUUUCACGUUUCCACUGUCGCUCAUGUCCCUCGACUUACCAUGCAGCUCAUAUCUGGUGGUCAGAUUGUUGACUCUAGUUGUAGGGUCAUUCUCGACUAUGAUUCGUGUUCUGUUCAGGAUCGUUGCACGGGCGCUCUACUUGGUGCUGGCCCUCGACGCCCUGAUGGUCUUUGGGAUCUUGACUGGCUUCGUCUUCCCUCCGCUGCCACCGCCGCCGCCAGUCUCACAACCCCUGUUGCAGCAUCUACCAGCUCUUUUCAGCAGUGGCAUCAUCGUCUUGGCCAUUUAUGUGGUUCUCGUCUCUCGUCUUUGGUUCAUCGCGGUGUUCUGGGGUCCGUCUCCGGUAAUGCUUCAUUGGAUUGUCUAGGUUGUAGGCUUGGCAAGCAGAUUCAGUUACCCUAUCCUCACAGUGAGUCAGUGUCCGAGCGCCCUUUUGAUCUCGUUCACGCUGAUGUUUGGAGUCCUGCUCCCUUCGCUUCGAAAGGGGGUCAUCGCUACUAUAUUAUCUUUAUAGAUGAUUUUUCUUGGUACACUUGGAUCUAUUUCAUGACUUCUCGUAGCGAGGUCUUAUCUAUAUACAAAAAAUUUGCUGCCAUGGUUCAUACCCAGUUUUCCACUCCUAUUCGUGUUUUCCGUGCAGAUUCAGCUAGUGAGUAUAUCUCCCAUGCGCUGCGAGGAUUCCUUGCUGAGCAGGGUACUCUUGCUCAGUUCUCUUGCCCUGGUGCUCAUGCUCAGAAUGGUAUGGCUGAGCGCAAGCAUCGUCACCUUCUUGAGACGACGCGUGCGAUGAUGAUCGCCGCCUCUCUUCCGCCUCACUUCUGGGCUGAGGCUGUUACCACUUCCACCUAUCUCAUCAAUAUUCAGCCAUCUGCUGCUCUACAGGGUGGUAUUCCUCUCGAGCGUCUUUCUGGUCGUUCUCUUGAUUAUUCGGUGCUUCGUUUGUUUGGUUGCGUCUGCUAUGUUUUGCUUGCCCCUCAUGAACACACCAAACUGACCGCUCAGUCUGUUGAGUGUGUCUUUCUCAGAUACAGUGAUGAGCAUAAGGGCUAUCGGUGUUGGGAUCCUGUCGGUUGUCGGAUGCGUAUUUCCCGGAAUGUGACAUUUGAUGAGUCUCGUCCCUUCUACCCACGUCCAUCCUCCUUAGCCUUUUCCACGGAGGACAUCUCUUUUCUCACGUUUUCGGAUACACCUCCCUCUAUGCCCAGUAUUCCUACUCCUCAUCCCAUUGUUGCAGAUCUGAUGCCGUCCUCUCCUAUGGAUUCUUCUCCUCCCUCAUCGCAUGACUCUCCACCAUCAUCGCCAAUACCUUCCCCUUCACCUUCAUCACCAAUACCUUCCCCUUCUCCACCUUCAUCAUUGAUACAUUCCCCGUCUCCGUCUCCAGUGAUUCCACCUCUUCCCUCCUUUCCUUUCCAUUAUACUCGUCGUCCACGUGUUGUGGAUGAGUCUACUGAUGUGCCCUCUACUUCUGGUGUGUCGUCUUCCUCCUCUCAACCGACUUAUCAUCUUCGUUCUCGGCCUUGUCCGCCUCUUGACCGAUAUUCUCCUUCUCGUUAUGGUCUUUCGACCAUUCUUGAGCCGACUUCUUAUCGAGAUGCUAUUGUUCAUCCUGAAUGGCAGCUUGCGAUGGCGGAGGAGCUUGCUGCUCUUGAGCGCACCGACACAUGGGAUCUUGUUUCUCUUCCUCCCGGUGUUCGUCCCAUCACUUGUAAGUGGGUCUACAAGGUUAAGACUCGUUCCGAUGGUUCUCUUGAGGGUUACAAAGCUCGUUUUGUGGCUCGUGGCUUUCAGCAGGAGCAUGGUCGCGAUUACGAUGAGACUUUUGCUCCUGUGGCCCAUAUGACCACUAUGUUGGGGAUCGUAGCAGAAUUUUAA